UAUUUGAUCCAUUCAAGGAAUUAGGCUUCACAGUUUCAAAUUCAGGGGAGACCUCUGCAUUUGCCAACACUCGAAUCGACUGGAAGGAAACUCCAGAAGCUCAUGUGUUCAAGGCUGAUCUUCCAGGGCUUAAGAAGGAGGAAGUCAAAGUGGAGAUCGAAGAGGAUCGUGUUCUUCAGAUCAGCGGAGAGAGGAACGUGGAGAAAGAAGACAAGAACGAUACUUGGCACCGUGUGGAACGCAGCAGCGGGAAAUUCAUGAGAAGAUUUAGACUUCCGGAGAAUGCAAAGAUGGAUCAAGUUAAGGCGUCUAUGGAGAAUGGAGUGCUUACUGUUACUGUUCCGAAGGAGGAGGUGAAGAAGCCUGAUGUCAAGUCCAUUGAGAUCUCUGGUUAAAUGCUCUGGUUGGGAACAAACCUGUAGUAUUAAGUCAAGUGUGUACUGUCGAAGAUUUUGAGUUUACUUAUUUUCUGUCUGUGUCUUGUGCGCUGAGUCGUUUUACUAGUUGGUUGUUAUCUGUUUGAUGUAUUUUCCUUGAGAACUCUUAUGUGUGAAAGAAUGUAUUACUACUAAUAAUAGUAUUUCUGGUGCCAUUCUGCAAUCUG
rnacentral:misc_RNA from 1 species